rnacentral:rRNA from 1 species
UACGGAGGAUGCGAGCGUUAUCCGGAUUUAUUGUGUUUAAAGGGUGCGUAGGCGGACUGUCAAGUCAGCGGUAAAAUUGAGAGGCUCAACCUCUUCCCGCCGUUGAAACUGGUGGUCUUGAGUGGAUGAGAAGUACGCGGAAUGCGUGGUGUAGCGGCGAAAUGCAUAGAUAUCACGCAGAACUCCGAUUGCGAAGGCAGCGUACCGGCAUCCAACUGACGCUGAGGCACGAAAGCGUGGGGAUCAAACAGG